AUAAUAUAAAUCUGAUUAUUAAAAACUGAAAUAUACGUAUAAACGAUUAUCGUUUAUCAACGAUAAGUUUUAAACAAUUUGAUGGCCCACCGGCGGCAAUUAGAUCCGACCCAAUUGAAAGACUCUGGCUUAGAACUCGAACGCGUUCGGUCAGAGGGCACGAUCGGAGUCGCUACUCAGCCUACGCUACGUCUGCCGACUCAAGGACGAAUUCUUCGAAGGUCGAGCAAGCAGCGUCUCUCGAAGGUAUACAUGCGCCACCGGAGGCGAGAGAGUAAGGAGAACGUGAAACGGGAGAAAAGAAAGUGCAGAAAGAGAUGAACGGAAAAAGAUAUUCAGCGAUGGGUUUCGUCCAGAAUGGACGAUAAUUGCGCGCUUGCAUUCGCCUCGUUCUAUAUGACCGAGCCGAGAAUGAUUUAACGAAUAUGGCAUCCCUAUCGGUGGAGAUUCUCGUGCCGCGAAACGUUCUAUAUCUUCUCUCUCUCUCCUUUUCCGUGUCCUCUCUCUAUCACGGUCCCCCCUCCCCUCUCCAAGAAAAAAGAGAGAGAAAGAAACGCGGAGAGCAUAAUCGACUACCAGCUAAUACUAAUGGUACGUUGCCGUGGCCAUUGAGGACCAGUCGAUAAAUACAAGCCAACUGCGUAAAUCCACUUUGUUCGGAAUGGCACGUCGGGACGCGACGCUCUGACUUACGAGGUAGACGGCUGACUUACGAUCCUUAUUUAAAAUCGCCAAGUUGCCGCGCGCACGCGCGUAGGCCACGGCAAUAAAAUCCUUUAGCGCGUUCAACGGGGUGUGAUCGGGCCAAGCUGCGCGCGCAGCUAUACGCGCUUAAUGGCGGCGAUUUUUGCGCAUACUCCGCGUAUUAUGGGUACAAUUUGGGUUAUGGAAUUAUUUGUGAACGAGUUCGGUUGAUUUAUGGCAGUUGAUUCAGUGAGUUGAUCGUUAGAUCAUUCUUCUCCAGUGACCGGUGCAUAACAGCGCUGGAAAGUAUGUCUGCUAGCUUAUACAAAACAACAAAUGAAUAUUUAUGGAGCGUGAUCGUAUAAUAUGCAAACAGAAAGAAUGAGAAAGAAAUUGACAUUUUACCAGAAGAAUAAAGAAUAUUGUUCCAGUUUGAUAUUAAAAAAUGAAACGAGCAAAAGACAAAGGAAAGUUAUACUACAUAAUCCAGAAGAAGGAAGUGCUCCUUCCAAUUGCGUAGCCUCGCAGAGAGAACUUUCCAGUAAACACAUUGAUCAAAG